rnacentral:rRNA from 1 species
CAGUCGCCACGGGAAUACGAAGGGUGCAAGCGUUAAUCGGAAUUACUGGGCGUAAAGCUUGCGUAGGCGGUUUGUUAAGUCUGUUGUGAAAUCCCCGGGCUCAACCUGGGAAUGGCAAUGGAUACUGGCAAGCUAGAGUGUGUCAGAGGAUGGUGGAAUUCCCGGUGUAGCGGUGAAAUGCGUAGAGAUCGGGAGGAACAUCAGUGGCGAAGGCGGCCAUCUGGGACAACACUGACGCUGAGGCACGAAAGCGUGGGGAGCAAACAGGAUUAGAUACCCCGUAGUCCCUGUCUCUUAUACA